GACGAACGCUGGCGGCGUGCUUAACACAUGCAAGUCGAACGGAAAGGCCCUGCUUUUGUGGGGUGCUCGAGUGGCGAACGGGUGAGUAACACGUGAGUAACCUGCCCUUGACUUUGGGAUAACUUCAGGAAACUGGGGCUAAUACCGGAUAGGAGCUCCUGCUGCAUGGUGGGGGUUGGAAAGUUUCGGCGGUUGGGGAUGGACUCGCGGCUUAUCAGCUUGUUGGUGGGGUAGUGGCUUACCAAGGCUUUGACGGGUAGCCGGCCUGAGAGGGUGGACGGCGACAUUGGGACUGAGAGACGGCGCAGACGGCUACGGGAGGCAGCAGUGGGGAAUAUUGCACAGUGGGCGGAAGCCUGAUGCAGCAACGCCGCGUGCGGGAUGACCGCCUUCGGGUUGUAAACCGCUUUCGCCUGUGACGAAGCGUUAGUGACGGUAAUGGGUAAAGAAGCACCGGCUAACUACGUG
rnacentral:rRNA from 1 species